rnacentral:rRNA from 1 species
GAUGAACGCUGGCGGCGUGCCUAAUACAUGCAAGUCGAGCGAACAGACGAGGAGCUUGCUCCUCUGACGUUAGCGGCGGACGGGUGAGUAACACGUGGAUAACCUACCUAUAAGACUGGGAUAACUUCGGGAAACCGGAGCUAAUACCGGAUAAUAUAUUGAACCGCAUGGUUCAAUAGUGAAAGACGGUUUUGCUGUCACUUAUAGAUGAAUCCGCGCCGCAUUAGCUAGUUGGUAAGGUAACGGCUUACCAAGGCAACGAUGCGUAGCCGACCUGAGAGGGUGAUCGGCCACACUGGACCUGAGACACGGUCCAGACUCCUACGGGAGGCAGCAGUAGGGAAUCUUCCGCAAUGGGCGAAAGCCUGACGGAGCAACGCCGCGUGAGUGAUGAAGGUCUUCGGAUCGUAAAACUCUGUUAUUAGGGAAGAACAAAUGUGUAAGUAACUAUGCACGUCUGGACGGUACCUAAUCAGAAAGCCACGGCUAACUACGU